rnacentral:rRNA from 1 species
UACAGAGGUCCCGAGCGUUGUUCGGAUUCAUUGGGCGUAAAGGGUGCGUAGGCGGCGGGGCAAGUCUGAUGUGAAAUCCCGGGGCUCAACCCCGGAACUGCAUUGGAUACUGCCUUGCUUGAGUACUGGAGAGGGAACUGGAAUUUACGGUGUAGCAGUGAAAUGCGUAGAUAUCGUAAGGAAGACCAGUGGCGAAGGCGGGUCUCUGGACAGUUCCUGACGCUGAGGCACGAAGGUCAGGGGAGCAAACGGG